GAAAUGACAACAUAAAUGUGACAGAGAAAUGGACAGAAAAAUGAAAAGAAAAAAGGUGAAAGUCCAGUUAGAACAAACCAAAGCAGAGCAUACCAAUUUCUGUUGUACCUAACAUAUGAGAUAAGGCAGAAGAUUUGUCAGCUCAUUUCUCACCAAAGAACAGCCUCGCCUGACAACAAUAUAUGUGACAUGUAUUGAGGUUGAAAGUUGAAAGGUUAUGCUUUAGACUUUGAAUUUGUGGGGCCUAUUCAAGAAUCAGAAUUUUAACGUGUUCAACUUUUAUUUCAUUGUCAAGUUCAAUUUCUUCUGCUUAUGUAACUGUAAUAAUAGA
rnacentral:lncRNA from 1 species